AUGAGUUCUGCCUACUGGGUGGACGUUCCUGCAGGUGGAGACACCAAAAUGAGACUAUCUCAGUAUCAACUCUCCUUUACCCGAAGUCCCAACAGAACAGUGCACAUAAGCUGCAAGCUCUCCGGCGUUCCCAUCAAGAAUGCCAUUGUGCACUGGUACCAAGAAAAAGAAGGGGAGCCUCUGAAACGAAUCUUCUAUGGCUCAUCCAAGAAUUACAAGCAUGAGAAGCCCAAUUCCCGCUUGGAGACAGAUAAGAAAGACGAUGAUUUUUGUAGAAGCCGUGACCAGUGUGAUAACAAUGUCUGGAUCAAGAUAUUUGGAGAUGGCACUAAGCUCACAGUAACACCUCCCGGUAAAACCCCUGCUGGAGACAUUUUCCCCAAGCCCACUAUUUUUCUUCCGUCAAUUGCUGAAACAAACCUCCAUAAGGCUGGAACACAUCUUUGUCUUCUGGAGAAUUUUUUCCCUGACGUUAUUAAAGUGUAUUGGAAAGAAAAAAAUGGCAAUACAAUUCUGGAAUCUCAGCAGGGAAAUACCAUGAAGACUAACAACACGUACAUGAAAUUGAGCUGGCUGACAGUGACUGAAAAGUCACUAGAUAAAGAACACAAAUGCAUCGUCAAACACGUGAAUAAUAAAGGAGGAGUUGAUCAAGAGAUUCUGUUUCCUGCAACAAACAAAGUACAACUCUCAUCUCAGCCUUGUUUGGAAGGUGAAAAUGAAGCACUGGGGCAGCAGCUCACCGGCACCUCUGUCUACUACACCUACCUGCUCCUGCUCCUCAACAGCGUGGUCUACUUUGCCUUUGCUGCCUUCUGUCUGUAUAGAAGAACAGCUGUCUGUGGUGAUGGGAAGAGUUCCUAA